rnacentral:rRNA from 1 species
AACGAACGCUGGCGGCAUGCCUAACACAUGCAAGUCGAACGAGACCUUCGGGUCUAGUGGCGCACGGGUGCGUAACGCGUGGGAACCUGCCCUUAGGUUCGGAAUAACUCCCCGAAAGGGGUGCUAAUACCGGAUAAUGUCUUCGGACCAAAGAUUUAUCGCCUUUGGAUGGGCCCGCGUUGGAUUAGCUAGUUGGUAGGGUAAAAGCCUACCAAGGCGACGAUCCAUAGCUGGUCAGAGAGGAUGAUCAGCCACACUGGGACUGAGACACGGCCCAGACUCCUACGGGAGGCAGCAGUGGGGAAUAUUGGACAAUGGGCGGAAGCCUGAUCCAGCAAUGCCGCGUGAGUGAUGAAGGCCUUAGAGUUGUAAAGCUCUUUUACCCGGGAUGAUAAUGACAGUACCGGGAGAAUAAGCUCCGGCUAACUCCGUG